rnacentral:rRNA from 12 species
CCUGGCGGCGAGAGCGCGGUGGUCCCACCUGACCCCAUGCCGAACUCAGAAGUGAAACGCCGUAGCGCCGAUGGUAGUGUGGGGUCUCCCCAUGCGAGAGUAGGGAACUGCCAGGC